CCACCUGAGGAGCGCUGCGACGGGAUUCCCGCCAGGCUCAGGCCGUCCCAACUGCGCUCGCAACCC
rnacentral:ncRNA from 1 species